CGGACGACACGGCGCUACUACGUGCAGCUCCGACGGGCGCAGCGUCCCGCCACACUCACCCCGAGCACGCCGCACAAUGGCGCCCGUCGGCCCGCGGCGAAGUGCGUCAGCCCGGAGUCCGCACUACAACUCCCAGAAGCCCCCGCGGCGCGCCUCAAGCGGCCGCGCCCUCACCGCGGCCAUCUUGACCCGCCCGUCCGGGCGGCGGGCGAAGCCGGAAAGAUGGAACACAUCCUGACCUGGGCUUGCUGCUCAUUUAAUGAGUAACUGAGUGUUUUUCACAUUUGGCAGAGGUACCCAUAACCAGGAAGGGAAAGCCCAAGUCUGUUGCUUUCUGUAUGUAUGCUGUAUGCACAUCUUCCAUGUCCUUCCAGAGCAACAGUGUACUCUUUUGUCUUUCUCAUAGAUGAUUGUCUCCUAUUCUUUUCCUGAGGUGUCUUGUCUUCUUUGGGCGACAGGAAAAUGUUGAACUGGCUAGUGUGACAUGUUAAAUAAUCAUGUUUACUAACAUUUUUGUUUCGAAUAAGUAUGCUGUGGAAAACUGAUUCAUGAGACAUACCUUAAUGUAAUUGCAUACUUUUAGCACAUUAAGUACAAUAUUUAGUAUAAUUGUAAAAAAGCAUGAUUUCUGAAUAAAUGUUAACUGUUAUACA
rnacentral:lncRNA from 1 species